AAAGUACGAUUAAAUAUUUAUUACCACAAUUAACUUAUACGAUCCGUAGCAUUCCUUACAGGACUGAUGGUCGGUCGAGCAGACGUGUCCUGGAGUGGAGACAGCAUCUUGGCAAAUACAGUGUGGGACGUCCUCCAGCCCGCUGGACCGGCGAUCUACGUAAGAUUGCUGACAUAGGCUGGAUAAGGGUUACGAAAACUGAGAUGUCUGACGCGAGCUUUGUGAGGCCUAUUGAACCGUAAUAGGCUGACUGACUGACUGACUGACUGACUAAUAUAGAUGUCAGGGGUUAGUGCGUUUUUUCUGUAUUGUGUGUUUCCGGAGUGAGCUUCUGUAUUGUGUUUUCCUCAACACAGGAGAAAGACCUAUAAAUUUUUGGCCAAUUUUUGGAUAUAUUUUAAAAAUUACGUUUUAUGUCUUUGAUAGCUAAGUUUAUUUAGUGGAUGAGAUACAUAAUGAGAUGUCAGACGUUACGAUGAAUUUUAAUUUGUUAAAUUGGGUGAAGUGAUGUAUACCCGAUACUGUAAUAACCUGUGUACCUAAUAAGGUAAUUUGUAUAAUUACUGACUGAGAAAUCCUACAAUCUCGUAUGAUAUGCCUUUCUUAAAGAGGAUGUUGUAGUAGUGGAACUGUUUAGUCUAUUAAUACAGUUAUAGUAGUUACAGAAUAAAUAGAAAGUGUCUUUAUUAGAAAAAAUAUGUAAUGUUGCGAUUUAUACAUCUUCUAAAACAAAGCAAUAGUGAUAAACGCAGGUGAAACUGUGUGUCACUACUACGCGAAAAAUUAAAUAGGUGUAUUCAGUUUUAAGCCUUAAGAAAUUUAUUUCACUAUCGAUAAACAGAAUCGAUAUGCGAUUGUAUAGAUGAAAAGGUUAACAUACAAUCCAUGCGGCUAACAUAAUAUUUUAGUAGCUAAUAUCACUAACUAACUAUCUUAAAGGUAAAGGGUAAAUUGCAAGGCUUUCAAUACGAUCUAGAUUUUCGUUAGGGUCUUUUGUGAGACCGAGAUGAUUAUCUAAAGGCUUUGAAAUUUCAAUUACUGUUGCGGAUAGGUACUAUUAUUAUAAAAGAUAUCUUGCUUCAAAAUUUAUUUCAUAUUUAUACAAAUCUCUUCAAAAGGUUCAAACCUUUUGAAGAGAUUCGAAGGAAGGUCGUAUGAUACAAAUAUUUUUUAGUAAAGAAUUUAAAUUUUGUUUUUUCUUAAUUUAACCAGACUGUCUGACUGAACAGCUGUCGAGAUAUUACAAAAUUAAUUAAGUAUAAUAUUAUCCUGUCUCUACCAUGCAAACUUAGUAUAAGUAUUUUGAUGUUAUUCUCUUUGAAAUAUUAUGUUAUAAUGAGUUUUGUCUAUUACGAGUUUUGUAUAUUACCACCAAGUAUUAAAAUUAAGUGUUUUUGAUAAUUUUCAUUAUAAGUUGUAAAUGUGUAUUAAAAUAAACGAAUAUAUCAUAGAAACGUGCAAGUUUUAAUGUAAUAAUUAAAUCUGUCAAUCGAUUGCUAAGCAAUUACAUCGUAAACUUACUUGAAAUCUG
rnacentral:misc_RNA from 1 species